CUACGGGCGGCUGCAGUGAGGAAUAUUGCACAAUGGGGGGAACCCUGAUGCAGCAACGCCGCGUGGAGGAUGACGCAUUUCGGUGUGUAAACUCCUUUUAUAUGUCAAGAAAAUGACGGUAGCAUAUGAAUAAGCACCGGCUAACUCCGUGCCAGGCGGCCGCGGUAAUAGGAGGGUGCAAGCGUUACUCGGAAUCACUGGGCGUAAAGGACGCGUAGGCGGGUUGGAAAGUCAGGUGUGAAAUCCUACAGCUUAACUGUAGAACUGCACUUGAAACUUCUAAUCUAGAGUAUGGGAGGGGGAGAUGGAAUUAGUGGUGUAGGGGUAAAAUCCGUAGAUAUCACUAGGAAUACCUAAAGCGAAGGCGAUCUCCUGGAACAUUACUGACGCUAAGGCGUGAAAGCGUGGGGAGCAAACAGGAUUAGAUACCCCCGUAGUC
rnacentral:rRNA from 1 species